CUAUGGCACUCCAGCAGUAUGUAACACUAACUGACAAGUAUGAACUGUCAUUGUGGUAUCCAGGGUGCAAAUGCUCUGAAGAGGGGCUGUUUCCUGGUGUUUAUUUCUUUGCAAUACUCUCAAUUUAUUCUGCAAAUAGUCCGUAGUAUAAAGUAGCAUAACUUAAAAUUUUGACCUGUGAUGGUGCAAAAGGCACUAUGAGGUCAAGAGAAAACCCAUUCUGAACACUGACUUUUCAUAUGUCAGUUCUCAGCUCUGGGCUAUGUAUUAAGAUUGAGAUCCUAGUAAGUCAUAUAAUCCCAAAGAUGAACAUAUUUCACUGUGUUGCUGAUCUGUAAUGAAGCUGAAGAAGUUUGUCCUUAAUAGAGUCUGGACUCCAAGGGCAUCUGCAGGUCCCAUUAGGCAAGGAGCAUCUGCGUCAUUGUUGUUUGUAUGAGCAGAUGAGUAUCAGUGAUGUGGUGACUAUCAGUUUCAAGAGUUUGAUGUAUAAUGCACUCUUGACUUGUCUUAGUGCUAUUUUUUCAGAACACUCUGGCUAGGCAUAACCAGCUGAUGUGUCACGAGGUCACACAGGAACCUAUGGAAUCUUCUUUAGUGAGAAUGGAAUCUUCUUUACGAAUUCAUUAAGUAGAUCUACCAACCUUAUCAUCAGAUUCAGACACCAUCUUUAAUCAACCUUGGGAGAGAUCCUGAAUGAAACUCACCCAGUUAAGCUGAUUUUGAGUUCCUGACAUCUGAAAUCUGAGAGAGAAUAACUUUUGUGCUGCUUUGAUCUAAUCAUUUUUAUAAUUAUAUAUUGUUAAUUGAUUGUACCAUUGGAGCUCCUAAACUGCUACAUUUUGGAGUAAUAUAUUCUCAAACACUCAACAACAAAUGCAAACAUUGUGGAAAAUUAUCUUCUACUGAGCCUACUUUCAUGACUAGAGCUCUGUGCGAAAUGUUUAGGAGAAGCCAUCUGAACUAAAUCAGAUAUGGGCUCUCAGCCAUUAACUAGAACCAUGCCUGCCACCCUGCUGCCAUCUUCCUGAAAUGCUGAUCAUGGACUCACCCUCUGAAGUUGUAAGCUCCCAUUAAAUGCUUUCUUUUAUAA